rnacentral:tRNA from 1 species
GCGGGUGUAGCUCAAUGGUAGAGCACCAGCCUUCCAAGCUGGCCGUGGGGGUUCGAUUCCCCUCACCCGCUCCA